rnacentral:rRNA from 1 species
AUUUCACAAUGGGGGAAACCCUGAUGCAGCAACGCCGCGUGAGUGAAGAAGUAUUUCGGUAUGUAAAGAUCUAUCAGCAGGGAAGAAANNGACAGUACCUGACUAAGAAGCCCCGGCUAACCACGUGCCAGCAGCCGCGGUAAUACGUAGGGGGCAAGCGUUAUCCGGAUUUACUGGGUGUAAAGGGAGCGUAGACGGUUAUGCAAGUCAGAAGUGAAAGCCCAAAGCUCAACUUCGGGACUGCUUUUGAAACUGUGUAACUAGAGUGCAGGAGGGGUAAGCGGAAUUCCUAGUGUAGCGGUGAAAUGCGUAGAUAUUAGGAGGAACACCGGCGGCGAAGGCGGCUUACUGGACUGUAACUGACGUUGAGGCUCGAAAGCGAGGGGAGCAAACAGG